GUGCUUGCUUCAGCAGCACAUAUACUAAAAUUGGAAUGAUACAGAGAAGAUAAGCAUGACCCCUGUUUAAAGAUGACAUGCAAAUUCGUGAAGUGUUCCAUAGUUUU
ensembl:snRNA U6 U6 spliceosomal RNA